rnacentral:rRNA from 1 species
AGAGUUUGAUCCUGGCUCAGGAUGAACGCUGGCGGCGUGCUUAACACAUGCAAGUCGAACGAAGCACCUUGAUUUGAUUCUUCGGAUGAAGAUCUUGGUGACUGAGUGGCGGACGGGUGAGUAACGCGUGGGUAACCUGCCUCAUACAGGGGGAUAACAGUUAGAAAUGACUGCUAAUACCGCAUAAGACCACAGCACCGCAUGGUGCAGGGGUAAAAACUCCGGUGGUAUGAGAUGGACCCGCGUCUGAUUAGGUAGUUGGUGGGGUAACGGCCUACCAAGCCGACGAUCAGUAGCCGACCUGAGAGGGUGACCGGCCACAUUGGGACUGAGACACGGCCCAAACUCCUACGGGAGGCAGCAGUGGGGAAUAUUGCACAAUGGGGGAAACCCUGAUGCAGCGACGCCGCGUGAGCGAUGAAGUAUUUCGGUAUGUAAAGCUCUAUCAGCAGGGAAGAAAAUGACGGUACCACUUGAAUAAGCCACGGCUAACUACGUGCCAGCAGCCGCGGUAAUACGUAGGUGGCAAGCGUUGUCCGGAUUUACUGGGUGUAAGGGCGUGCAGCCGGGCAUGCAAGUCAGAUGUGAAAUCUCAGGGCUUAACCCUGAAACUGCAUUUGAAACUGUAUGUCUUGAGUGCCGGAGAGGUAAUCGGAAUUCCUUGUGUAGCGGUGAAAUGCGUAGAUAUAAGGAAGAACACCAGUGGCGAAGGCGGAUUACUGGACGGUAACUGACGGUGAGGCGCGAGAGCGUGGGGAGCGAACAGGAUUAGAUACCCUGGUAGUCCACGCUGUAAACGAUGGAUACUAGGUGUGCGGGGACUGACCCCCUGCGUGCCGCAGUUAACACAAUAAGUAUCCCACCUGGGGAGUACGAUCGCAAGGUUGAAACUCAAAGGAAUUGACGGGGGCCCGCACAAGCGGUGGAUUAUGUGGUUUAAUUCGAAGCAACGCGAAGAACCUUACCAGGUCUUGACAUCCUGCUAACGAAGUAGAGAUACAUUAGGUGCCCUUCGGGGAAAGCAGAGACAGGUGGUGCAUGGUUGUCGUCAGCUCGUGUCGUGAGAUGUUGGGUUAAGUCCCGCAACGAGCGCAACCCCUAUUGUUAGUUGCUACGCAAGAGCACUCUAGCGAGACUGCCGUUGACAGAACGGAGGAAGGUGGGGACGACGUCAAAUCAUCAUGCCCCUUAUGACCUGGGCUACACACGUAAUACAAUGGCGGUCAACAAAGGGAUGCAAAGCCGCGAGGCAGAGCGAACCCCAAAAAGCCGUCCCAGUUCGGAUCGCAGGCUGCAACCCGCCUGCGUGAAGUCGGAAUCGCCAGUAAUCGUGGGUCAGCAUACCACGGUGAAUACGUUCCCGGGCCUUGUACACACCGCCCGUCACACCAUGAGAGUCGGGAACACCCGAAGCCCGUAGCCUAACCGCAAGGAGGGCGCGGCCGAAGGUGGGUUCGAUAAUUGGGGUGAAGUCGUAACAAGGUA